ensembl:lncRNA
AUGGGAACGCUACCUUUGGACAAAGCCUGUAUUUUCAUUUGUUUGGCUUUGAUUCUCACAUUCACAAGUGCUGAAAGACAGUACUUCAACGAGUCCCAACAGCUUACUUGGGAUGAGGCCAGGAGCUACUGCCAGGUCUGCUAUAAGGAUCUAGUGGCUCUGACCUCAGACAAUGUCCAGGUAAUAAUCAAGAUGAUUGACACAGACCACUGGAUUGGCCUUCGCAAGCACUUCCCCAAAAACGUGACAGACAAAAACAAUUUCACCAGUGACAGCAACUUCACCAGCAAUGACAACUUCACCUAUGACAAGGGCAGCAAAAGCAAUUUCAGCAACAUAGAAAGCAUCAUCAACCUAGUUAACAACACCAACAUCACCACUAGGCCUCCCUGCAAGACUUGGUGCAAAUGGUCCAAUGGGGAUCCCCUUAUCUUCCAGAACUGGUAUCCUGGCAUGCCAGUGUUUAAAUCUCGCCUCCCAGAAAUAAAAUGCUGCAGUUGCUCUUGCACAUGCCCAGGAUCAACAACCAGGGUUACGACGAGACUUGCCCCGUUUACAGAAUCACCCACUGUACAGACCAGUGUUAUGUAUUCUCCUCCUGAAAGUACAGGGCAAAUUGAAAUAACCAAGGCCAGUGAAGGAACAACAGACGAAACAUAUCAUGUUCCAUCCACCCCAUCGGCAGCAUUUGGGAAAACAGAAGCCAGAACAACUCAAAUGAGCAGUACUAUAACCACCAAUCAAGAGGAAAUUACUACAAAAGAAGAAAAACCAACUAUGCCCACCAACCAAAAUAUAUUCCUAAAUUGCAGAAUCAAAGAAAGAACCAACCAAGAGGGACUUACCACCAACCAGGAGGGACUUAGCACUGCAAGAGAGAGUACGACGGACAGUAAACAUUCAAGACAAACCACAACCCAAGAGGGAAUUAGCACUGCAGGAGAGAGUGUGACUAAAGUAGGAGAUCUCUCAGUAACUACAACCCAAGAGGGAAUUAGCACUGCAGGACAAAGUGUGACUAAAGUAGGAGAUCUGUCAGUAACUACAACCCAAGAAGGAUUUAGAACUGCAGGAGAAAGUACAACUAAAGUAGAAGAUCUCUCAGUAACUACAACCAAAGAGGGGUUUAGCACUGCAGGAGAAAGUACAACUCACUGGAAAGGUUGUGAGACCACCAACCAAGAAACGUUGCUAACUUGCAAAGUAGUUGAAAGCACUCCUGACACUGGAAAUUGUUUCAAAACCACCACCCCAGGGGACAUUAGCACAGUUUCAGAUAGUACCACUGUUACAGGAAAAUCCUUUACCACAGACCAAGAGCAAAAAAGCACUUUCCAAACAAACAUCUCUUUCACCACUGCCGAAAUAACUCACAGCCCAGUCACUCAAGAUACAACUGGAAAGACAACAGAUCAACAGACGCCAGUGACAUCUACAAAAAGCACAACAACUUUUGAUGUUUUCGAGUCCUCCACAGGCUCCCUUUGGACAACCACUCUGCCUUCAUCAGAAGCAACAUGUGAACAAUCUCCUGUGGAGAUUCCACUUCUCGCUGAAAUUAAUGAAAACUACAUUGAGGACUCUUGCGUGGUCAUAACUAGUUUUGGACCUUGGAUUGAAAUGAGUUGCUCAGAGAUUCUUCCUUUUAUUUGUUAUGAAGGUACCUACAAACCAAAGCCUGCACACAUUGUAUGAACAUAUAAUAACAUAUGUUAAACAUUGUUUGGACUGUUCAUGAAUGCAUCAUUUUAAAAAUUGACUUGAAAAAAGUAUGUCCAUGCCUGAAAAUUUUACCAGCAUUUUUGUGCAGUUCAGUAAUGGCAUUUUAGUGCUCUUUGAAAUUGAGCUGAAGGUGUCUACAUACCAUUGACUGGAUAUGAGAACUGGACCAAGCAAGUGUGAUGUCACCCUAGAAAACAGCUUCCCUCAAGCUCCAACGAAACAGAGUCAAUUUGAUCAGUGAUUUUUCCAAGUCAACAUUUCAGUGGCAAACACUUCCACCAGAAGUGAGCUUGUUGGAACUCCCCACCCCAACCACUUAAAAGCAGGGUCAGGAGAAUCUGUCAGUGAAACAAUCAGCGUAUGAUAACACACUUUUAUCAGGGCAUCUGAUUUGUCAGUUUAUAACUUCAUGUUAUGCCCCUUUUUGUGUCAAGUGAUGGCCUGGAAUUAUGGACUGGAGUCCCUGUUCAAUUUUAAAGUUGGCAACUUCUACUAUAUCUUCAGUCAAAAUACUGAGUUUAUGUGCUAUUUACUAAAAACUACACAGUCAUAAUACACAACUCUUUGUGAGGAGAUAGCUUUGUUAUGAGUAUUCAUUUUCUUUUUGCAUUACUACAUAAUUAGAGCAGAUAAGGCAUGAAAACAGAUGCAGCAACAAUCGCGUUUCAUGCUUGCUAUAAACCGUGUGCGUGGGGGGCAUGACAUUUCUAAAGCACAGCUGGCUCAACCAUAGCUGAGCAAACGGCGGCCCUUGCUCCGUGGGCAGGGCUCGAGAAGUGCAUGCUUGUGGACACUGCUUGUGGGCGGGAACUGCAGACCCGGCAGCAGGAGCCAUGGCAGGACGGCCGGGUCCGAUGGCGCGUCUCGUUCUCACUUCUAGCAACAUGAAUAACUUGCGCUUUAGAAGACGUAUCAUGAAGGACAUAGGAUUUAUUUGCAAGAACGUGUAAAAAAAAAAGUAUUAGAGCCAAAAUGGCUAUUCUGCCAAGCAGAAUGACUGAGUAAUAGCUGUUUAUUUCUCUAUAGAACUGCUUGGGAUUUUGAUGGGUACUUCCUAUUUAGAACUCGAGGGGAAGGGGUCACUCAGUUCAUUUCUCGUAUACAGCCAAUGUUACAUAUCUACUACACACAGACAGGACUCCCUCAAGUGUCUGUUAAUUUUUUUUGUUUGUUUGUUUUACAUGCAGUGGGGAAAAAAAGUAUUUAGUCAGCCACCAUCAGUGCAAGUUCUCCUACUUAAAAAUAUGAGAGAGGCCUGUCAAUUUCAUCAUAAUUAUAUUUUGGAAAAAAGUCCAGAAAAUCACAUUGUCUGAUUUUUAAAUAAUUUAUUAGGGAGUUGAAAGUCUGUUUUGCCCAAUAGCCCUAAAACAUCACUGCUCUAGAGGAGAUCUGCAUGGAGGAAUAUGCCAAAAUACCAGCAACAGUUUGUGAAAAGCUUGUGAAGACUUACAGAAAAUGUUUGACUGCUGUCAUUGCCAAAAAAAGGUAUAUUAUGUUGAUCUUUUGUUAUUGACCAAAUAUUUAUUUUUCAGCCUAAUUUACAAAUAAAUAAUUUUGGUGGUUGAUUAAAUACUUUUCUGCCCCACAGUAUAACACAGAUAAGCCUGACUUCUGCUCAGCUGUUAGCUUGACAGAGAAAUACAGUUUACUUCCUUGAUAACUUCUCAUUGAACUGUAUUUUCUUUGCAUCUGUUAAUGUCCUUUUUCUUUAUAAACAGACAGAUUUUUCGGUCAAGUCAAUGUGACGAACGUAACAUCAGGGAGUGCCACUCUGACCUGGCUGCCUGGACCCGGUGGCAUCAGUCAUUAUGAUGUUGAGGUCACAGGUGACAUCGAACUGUACGAAAAUGUGACAGAUUUGACCCUUGACCUUUUUAACCUCACGGCAGGAAGCUACUACAAAGUUCAGGUGUUUCCAGUUAAGUGUUACCGACGCCUCAACCCCCAGAAUGCCUCCUUCUACACCAGUAAGCUAAAUCCAAUUCUUAUUUUCACUUCAAAUUCAAUAAUUAUGGAUUUAUUUUAGAGCUGCACGGUGGGAAUAGUGGUUAGCACUCUCGCCUCACAGGAUCGAACCUUGUGUGUGGAAAUUACAUGUUCUCCUCAUGCAUGUGUGGGGAUUUCUCCAGUGACAUCAACAAAAAGGAAAGCAACCA